AGGGUUUGAUCAUGGCUCAGAACGUACGCUGGCGGCACGCCUAACACAUGCAAGUCGAACGAAGUAGCAAUACUUAGUGGCAGACGGGUGAGUAACAUGUAGGUAUCUGCCCUUUGGCCUGGAAUAACACGAGGAAACUUGUGCUAAUACCGGAUAAGUCUUUACGGAGAAAGCUUUAUGCACCAUUGGAUGAGCCCGCACUUGAUUAGUUUGUUGGUGGGGUAAUGGCCUACCAAGACUGUGAUCAAUAGCUGAUUUGAGAGGAUGAUCAGCCACAUUGGGACUGAGACACGGCCCAAACUCCUACGGGAGGCAGCAGUGGGGAAUCUUGCACAAUGGAGGAAACUCUGAUGCAGCGAUGCCGCGUGAGUGAAGAAGGCCUUUGGGUUGUAAAGCUCUUUCGUCGGGGAAGAAAAUGACUGUACCCGAAUAAGAAGGUCCGGCUAACUUCGUGCCAGCAGCCGCGGUAAUACGAAGGGACCUAGCGUAGUUCGGAAUUACUGGGCUUAAAGAGUUCGUAGGUGGUUGAAAAAGUUGGUGGUGAAAUCCCAGAGCUUAACUCUGGAACUGCCAUCAAAACUUUUCAGCUAGAGUUUGAUAGAGGAAAGCAGAAUUUCUAGUGUAGAGGUGAAAUUCGUAGAUAUUAGAAAGAAUACCAAUUGCGAAGGCAGCUUUCUGGAUCAUUACUGACACUGAGGAACGAAAGCAUGGGUAGCGAAGAGGAUUAGAUACCCUCGUAGUCCAUGCCGUAAACGAUGUGUGUUAGACGUUGGAAAUUUAUUUUCAGUGUCGCAGCGAAAGCGAUAAACACACCGCCUGGGGAGUACGACCGCAAGGUUAAAACUCAAAUGAAUUGACGGGGACCCGCACAAGUAGUGGAGCAUGUGGUUUAAUUCGAAGAUACGCGCAGAACCUUACCAACACUUGACAUGUUCGUCGCGACUUUAAGAGAUUAAAGUUUUCGGUUCGGCCGGACGAAACACAGGUGCUGCAUGGCUGUCGUCAGCUCGUGUCGUGAGAUGUUGGGUUAAGUCCCGCAACGAGCGCAACCCUCACUUUUAGUUGCCAUCAUUAAGUUGGGCACUCUGAAAGAACUGCCAGUGAUAAGCUGGAGGAAGGUGGGGAUGACGUCAAGUCCUCAUGGCCCUUACGUGUUGGGCUACACACGUGCUACAAUGGUAUCUACAACAGGAAGCAAGACUGCGAGGUCAAGCAAAUCCUUAAAAGAUACCUCAGUUCGGAUUGCACUCUGCAACUCGAGUGCAUGAAGCUGGAAUUACUAGUAAUCGUGGAUCAGCGUGCCACGGUGAAUGCGUUCCCGGGUCUUGUACACACCGCCCGUCACACCAUGGGAGUUGGUUCUACCUUAAG
rnacentral:rRNA from 1 species